rnacentral:rRNA from 1 species
GCCAGACUCCUACGGGAGGCAGCAGUGAGGAAUAUUGGUCAAUGGGCGUAAGCCUGAACCAGCCAAGUCGCGUGAGGGACGACGGCCCUACGGGUUGUAAACCUCUUUUGCCGGGGGACAAACGGCGGCACGCGUGCCGUCCUGAGGGUACCCGGAGAAAAAGCAUCGGCUAACUCCGUGCCAGCAGCCGCGGUAAUACGGAGGAUGCGAGCGUUAUCCGGAUUUAUUGGGUUUAAAGGGUGCGUAGGCGGGAUGCCAAGUCAGCGGUCAAAUCCGGGGGCUCAACCUGCGUCCGCCGUUGAAACUGGCGUUCUUGAGUGGGCGAGAAGUACGCGGAAUGCGUGGUGUAGCGGUGAAAUGCAUAGAUAUCGCGCAGAACUCCGAUUGCGAAGGCAGCAUGCCGGCUCCACACUGACGCUGAGGCACGAAAGCGUGGGUAUCGAACAGGAUUAGAUACCCGGGUAU